rnacentral:rRNA from 1 species
UACGUAGGAGACGAGCGUUGUCCGGAGUUACUGGGCGUAAAGGGUGCGCAGGUGGCGGCGCGCGUGGGGGGUGAAAUCGCCCGGCUUAACUGGGCGGGGGCCUUCCAGACGGCGUGGCUUGAGCAGCGGAGGGGGACGUGGAAUUCCGGGUGGAGCGGUGAAAUGCGCAGAUAUCAGGAGGAACACCGGUGGCGAAGGCGGGUCUCUGGGCCGAUACUGACGCUGAGGAGCGAAAGCGUGGGGAGCGAACAGG